UAACAAGGAUUCCCCUAGUAACUGCGAGUGAAGCGGGAAGAGCUCAAAUUUAAAAUCUGGCGGUCUUUGGCCGUCCGAGUUGUAUUCUGGAGAAGUGCUUUCCGCGCUGGACCGUGUAUAAGUCUCUUGGAACAGAGCGUCAUAGAGGGUGAGAAUCCCGUCUUUGACACGGACUACCAGUGCUUUGUGAUGCGCUCUCAAAGAGUCGAGUUGUUUGGGAAUGCAGCUCAAAAUGGGUGGUAAAUUCCAUCUAAAGCUAAAUAUUGGCGAGAGACCGAUAGCGAACAAGUACCGUGAGGGAAAGAUGAAAAGCACUUUGGAAAGAGAGUUAAACAGUACGUGAAAUUGUUGAAAGGGAAACGCUUGAAGUCAGUCGCGUUGGCCGGGACUCAGCCUUGCCUUCCGCUUGGUGUAUUUUCCGGUCGACGGGCCACCAUCGAUUUUGACUGCUGGACAAGGGCUAGUGGAAUGUGGCACCCUCGGGUGUGUUAUAGCCGCUAGUCAUAUACAGCAGACGGGAUCGAGGACCGCAGCUUCGGCUUAGGAUGUUGGCAU
rnacentral:rRNA from 1 species